AUACUUACCUGGAAGGGGAGGUACUGUGAUCACAAAGAUGGUUUUCCCAAGGUGAGCCUUAUUCAUUGAAUUUCAGCUGUGCUGACACCUGCGAUUCCCCGAAAUGUGGGAAACUUGACUGCAUAAUUUGUGGUGGUGGGGGACUGCGUUCGCCCUCUCUCCCA